rnacentral:rRNA from 1 species
ACGAACGCUGGCGGCGUGCUUAACACAUGCAAGUCGAACGGAAAGGCCCUGCUUUUGUGGGGUGCUCGAGUGGCGAACGGGUGAGUAACACGUGAGUAACCUGCCCUUGACUUUGGGAUAACUUCAGGAAACUGGGGCUAAUACCGGAUAGGAGCUCCUGCUGCAUGGUGGGGGUUGGAAAGUUUCGGCGGUUGGGGAUGGACUCGCGGCUUAUCAGCUUGUUGGUGGGGUAGUGGCUUACCAAGGCUUUGACGGGUAGCCGGCCUGAGAGGGUGACCGGCCACAUUGGGACGGAGAUACGGCCCAGACUCCUACGGGAGGCAGCAGUGGGGAAUAUUGCACAAUGGGCGGAAGCCUGAUGCAGCAACGCCGCGUGCGGGAUGACGGCCUUCGGGUUGUAAACCGCUUUCGCCUGUGACGAAGCGUGAGUGACGGUAAUGGGUAAAGAAGCACCGGCUAACUACGUG